rnacentral:tRNA from 1 species
GGUAGUGGCUCAAUGGUAGAACACUUGCCUAGCAUGUGUGCAGCACUGGGUUCAAUUCUCAGCACCA